GACGAACGCUGGCGGCGUGCCUAAUACAUGCAAGUAGGACGCAGUUGCGAACGGGUGAGUAACGCGUAGGUCUCUGUAUAUUUGAGGGGGGUAACUAUUGUAAACGAUAGCUAAUACCGCAUACUCGUAGAUGGAUCUGCGUUGUAUUAGCUAGUAGGUGGGGUAAGGGCCUACCUAGCCGACGAUACAUAGCCGACCUGAGAGGGGGAUCGGCCACACUGGGACUGAGACACGGCCCAGACUCCUACGGGAGGCAGCAGUAGGGAAUCUUCGGCAAUGGGGGGAAGCCUGACCGAGCAACGCCGCGUGAGUGAAGAAGGUUUUCGGAUCGUAAAACUCUGUUGUUAGAGAAGCGGUAUCUAACCAGAAAGCCACGGCUAACUACGUGCCAGCAGCCGCGGUAAUAC
rnacentral:rRNA from 1 species